rnacentral:rRNA from 1 species
GAUGAACGCUGGCGGCGUGCCUAACACAUGCAAGUCGAGCGGCAGCGAGGGGUGCUUGCACCCUGUCGGCGAGCGGCGGACGGCUGAGUAACGCGUGGGAACGUGCCCCAAAGUGAGGAAUAACUGCCCGAAAGGGUAGCUAAUACCGCAUAUUAUCUUCGGAUCAAAGGAUUUAUCCGCUUUGGGAGCGGCUCGCGUCGGAUUAGGUAGUUGGUGAGGGAAUGGCUCACCAAGCCGACGAUCCGUAGCUGGUCUGAGAGGAUGACCAGCCAGACUGGAACUGAGACACAGUCCAGAAUCCUACGGGAGGCAGCAGUGAGGAAUCGUCCACAAUGGGCGAAAGCCUGAUGGAGCAACGCCGCGUGCAGGACGAAGGCCUUCGGGUUGUAAACUGCUUUUAUAAGUGAGGAAUAUGACGGUAACUUAUGAAUAAGGAUCGGCUAACUACGUG